AUGUCACAUGGGGCAGUCUUCAUGUAUCCCUCCUUUGGGAAGGCAGGUUAGGGCAUGAUGGUUAGAGCUGCCACGAUCCUUGACUAUGACUCUGUCUAAUCAGGACUUGGGACACCCUAAUCUCUCUUACCAGUU